GGGGCUGUAGCUUAGUGGUAGAGCUCUUGCCUUGCAAAUAUGAGGCACUGAAUUUGAUCCUCAGCACCACA
rnacentral:tRNA from 1 species